CUUCGAUGAGAGAGAUUAUAUUCAUAACUAAAUAAUUGCUCUGGUCCGUAAAGGGUUGUAAUACUAAAAAGAAAGUCCUUAAGAGGUUAAAUACUAAAGCACUUACAAAGCUCUGCCUUAGGUGUGGCAGCAUUUUGUAACCUCUACCUACAUGACAAGGAGACAGGUGCAGCCUGGUAUUUGGGUAUGUUUUUGUGUAAGAAAAGUGUAGUAGGAACAGGAAACUGUCAGGAAUGUGUUUAUUCUGUUAUGUGCAGCAAAACAAACUAUCUUGCAUUUGUAGAAGUGAAACCUCAAGUUCUUGUUUAUUAUAAUUCUGGAGAGGCUUGCCAUGCAGUGAAAGCACGGACAGUUCAAGUCCAAAUUGAAAAGCAGGCUAUGGAUGUUUUUUUGUUGUUUUUUAAAGAAGUCAUUACAUACCUUCCAAGUGUCCAUAUUUCGGAGGGGCAUUCCCUAAUUUGGGCACAAAUCCCUCUGUUGUCCCUCUUUUCAAUCCUAAUGUCCCAUAAAUGUUGGUGUAUCUGAGUGUAUAAUAGAACUCCACAGCAAGAAUACUCACAGCAGUGUGUCUUGGAACUCCAAUAAAUAUGUUUAGAAUCAGUCUGUGUAAAUCAGACAAACUGUUGUUAUUCUAAAUUACAUUUUAG